rnacentral:siRNA from 1 species
UGGAAAUAUUCUCAGGAUGG